rnacentral:rRNA from 1 species
GAAAAUUACGAACUAUAGUUUAAAACUCAAAGAAUUUUGGCGGUGUCUUAUCAACCCAGGGGAACCUGUCUCAUAACUCGAUAAUCCACGUAUACCUUCCCUCUUUUUGAUUAAUCAGUAUGUGUACUGCCGUCGUAAGCAUACCUCUAAAAGAUUUUAGUAUGCUACUAUGAUUAUUCUCAUACACGUCAGGUCAAAGUGCAGCCUAUAAAGAGGUGAUGAUGGGUUACACUCCUCACACAGACACGAAAUACAUAAUUAAAAAAUAUAUAAAGGUGGACUUGGAUGUAAUUACAACUAUUAUAGUUUAAUGAAAAUGAAUCUAAGACAUGCACACAUCGCCCGUCACUCUUUCCACAAGGGA